rnacentral:misc_RNA from 1 species
AACGCACAUUGCGCCCAUUGGUAUUCCAUUGGGCAUGUCUGUUUGAGCGUCAUUACAACCCUCGGUCACCACCGGUUUUGAGCAAGCGGGGUCCCCUGACCCGGCUGGCUUUAAAGUUGUAAGCUCCGCUGGCUGCCAGGCCCAACCGGAACAUAGUAAAAUCAUGCUUGUUCGCGGUUCGCGGUCGGAGCGGUACGGCCUGAACAAUACCUACCACCUCUUAGGUUUGACCUCAGAUCAGACAAGGAUACCCGCUGAACUUAA